GGGCUGAGUUUGUUUUUGUAAACCCAAAUACAGGGCAACAAGUCCCAUACUCCUAUUAACUCUGAAAUCCCUAAAUCGAUCGUAUCGAUUCCAACUUUCCAAGCCGUCUCCGCCCACAUCGCCGUCGCGUCCACAUUGUCGUCUCUUCCCUUGCUCCAUUGAUCCCAUUCGGCCUCUCCCGCGCUGAUCUCGUCUUAUUCAUCUCCUCAUGGCCAAUUUCUUUGUGAAUUUGGAUUGAUUAGUUCAACGAAGGAGGAGAAUCGAAGCCGAGUAGCUUUCGAAUUUGCAGAGAUUAUUCUAAGUUAAUCAGCAACGCCUUCCAAAACAUGAGAGUUAUCGUCCUCGGCGGAGCUCCUAAGUUCUUCUUCCAUGUCUAGAAAGAGUAUUGGCAUCUUGUCAAGUUUGAUCAAUUGCUGAGAAGAAGCUGUAUGUUUGAUGAUUUGGGUCAAGUUUCUGUUAAGGACUUUUGGGGUUGCUUCAUUAUGGAUGCAUGAACAGAGCAGGGGAUUGCUGUACAAUCUACAUCCAGAAUUAAUACUGAGUCUGGGGUAUCACUGUGUUCACCACUGAAUCUAAUUAAGGUGAAGAUCAUGAUCAUGUCUUCAACAGUGUGAGCAGUUUCUCUUCACCAAAUUCGGCGUAUGCCAGCCAACAGUCCCACCCCAGGAGUAGCCUAAUGAUGAUGAUCAUGAUGAUGGAGGCAAUGAUUCAAUUAACAUUGCUUCAUAGUCACUUU